AUUGAACGCUGGCGGCAGGCCUAACACAUGCAAGUCGAACGAGUGGCGGACGGGUGAGUAAUGUCUGGGAAACUGCCUGAUGGAGGGGGAUAACUACUGGAAACGGUAGCUAAUACCGCAUACCAUCAGAUGUGCCCAGAUGGGAUUAGCUAGGUGGUGGGGGAACGGCUCACGAAGGCGACGAUCCCUAGCUGGUCUGAGAGGAUGGCCAGCCACACUGGCACUGAGGAACGGCCCAGACUCCUACGUGAGACAGCAGUGGGGAAUAUUGCACAGUGGGCGCAAGCCUGAUGCAGCACUGCCGCGUGUAUGAAGAGGGCCUUCGGGUUGUAAAGUACUUUCAGCGGGGAGGCGUUACCCGCAGAAGAAGCACCGGCUAACUCCGUGCCAGCAGCCGCGUAAUUC
rnacentral:rRNA from 1 species